GUUUGUCCCGGAGUUAUAAUAAUCGUAUCUGCCUCAAAUGGCUUUACAUAAACAGCAUCAACAUCCACGAUUGUGAGAGUGUGGUUCGCGAUGCUAAAGAAGAGUUCGUCAUUCAGCGCAGCAUUGAUCAGCCUCAGGAGGAGUAGCAUGUAGCAAAAAGGAGUCACUUAAGGGGUACUCAUGUUCUAUCCUCUCCUCCAAGUUUUUCUAUGUAAACUUUAUCAACUUUGCAUGCAUGGUUACAAGGUCUAUGUCCGUACAUGUCACAAAAGUGCAUUGCAAAAUACUACUCUCUAGUCUCUACUCUCAUAGACGUAUUUCCCUGUGUUUCAUUGAGUUCGCUUAUUUAUAAACUAUUCAAUGUGAAUCAA